GAUGAACGCUAGCUACAGGCUUAACACAUGCAAGUCGAGGGGCAGCAUUAUCGAAGCUUGCUUUGAUAGAUGGCGACCGGCGCACGGGUGAGUAACGCGUAUCCAACCUUCCCCAUAGUCAGGAAUAGCCCGGCGAAAGUCGAAUUAAUGCCUGAUGUUUUCCACGGACGGCAUCUGAUGUGGAACAAAGAUUCAUCGCUAUGGGAUGGGGAUGCGUCUGAUUAGCUUGUUGGCGGGGUAACGGCCCACCAAGGCAACGAUCAGUAGGGGUUCUGAGAGGAAGGUCCCCCCACAUUGGAACUGAGACACGGUCCAAACUCCUACGGGAGGCAGCAGUGAGGAAUAUUGGGUCAAUGGGCGGAAGCCUGAACCAGCCAAGUAGCGUGAGGGAUGACGGCCCUAUGGGUUGUAAACUGCUUUUAUAAGGGAAUAAAGUGAGCCUCGUGAGGCUUUUUGCAUGUACCUUAUGAAUAAGGACCGGCUAAUUCCGUGCCAG
rnacentral:rRNA from 1 species